AAUUUUUUUUUUAAAUUACCAUUGUACACUUGUGCUCAAUUCUCACAGGGGAGUCUGGCAGGACACACAGCACUCUCCCUCUCCAUUUAGGAGGUCGUCCUAAGAAUGGGGUUGGUUCUUAAAGACAUGAGAGGAAAAA
ensembl:scaRNA